rnacentral:rRNA from 1 species
CGUAGGCGGUUUUUUAAGUCAGAUGUGUAAUCCCCGAGCUCAACUUGGGAACUGCAUCUGAGACUGGAAGGCUAGAGUACUGGAGAGGGUGGUGGAAUUCCUCGUGUAGCGGUGAAAUGCGUAGAGAUGAGGAGGAACACCAGUGGCGAAGGCGGCCACCUGGACAGUAACUGACGCUGAGGCGCGAAAGUGUGGGUAGCAAACAGGAUUAGAUACCCUGGUAGUCCACGCUGUAAACGAUGAACACUUGGUGUGGAGGGAGUUGACCCCUUCCGUGCCGGAGCUAACGCGUUAAGUGUUCCGCCUGGGGAGUACGGUCGCAAGGCUGAA